AAGCAAGAAGCGAAUAAUCGCAACCAGUUUCGACCUGGUAUUAGGUAGUAUUAUUCUACCCUUUCUUU
rnacentral:tRNA from 1 species